GCAAGAUAGCCGAGUUGGUAAAGCAUGGGGCUGUUAAUCUCAGGGUUGUGGGUUCAAGCCCCAUGAUGGGCA